UUGUGAUCAUAUCACUUUGAAACACCAGCUCCUGUACGAUCCUCAAAGUUAAGCAACAUUGAGUCUGGUAAGUACCUUGAUGGGUGAAUCACUUGGAAAUACCAAGUGCUGUAAG